GAGGGUAGCAAAGCAGUUGUGGGGGAAAUGAAGCAGAGUUGUCCCUGCGGAGCAGAGAAGAGGAGAAGGUAAGUGGAAGCAGGAGCCCGUUUGUCAUCUUUCAGCCGACGAGGAUGCAGUAGAGUGGCACAAGUGACGUCUUUCAUCACGAAGAUGGGAGUAUUAAAGUGGCCAAAUGGUAGUAAUGAAGGUGUAAUGGUUCCCUUGCUUGACUUCUGUAUAGGCAUUGGGAGUUCCGUUUUCACUCAGUUACAGUUUACGUGGUCGCGGGCGUGCUGGAGCCUAUCCCAGCUAUCAUCGGGCAGGAGGCGGGGUCCACCCUCAACUGGUUGUCAGCCAAUCGCAGCAUUCCAGAGGUCAACAGUUUAAUUGGAAACAGAAACGCUGCCGGCUUCUCUGGUCCUGAGCUCAUCGGAGAUGGACUGACGCAAAGUGGAAAAGUGUGCUGUGGUCUGACGAGUCCACAUUUCAAAUUAGUUUGGGAAAUCAUGGAUGUUGUGUCCUCCGGGCAAAAGAGAAGAUGGACCAUCUUGAUAGUUAUCAGCACAAAGUUCAAAAGCCAGCAUCUGUGAUGGUAUUGGAGUGUGCCCAUGGCAUGGGUAAUUUCAGGCCUGAAGGCACCAUUUAUGCUAAACCAUACAUACAGGUUUUGGAGCAACAUAUGCUGCCUUCCAAGCAACGUCGUUUUCAGGGACAUCCCUGCUUAUUUCAACAAGACAAUGCAAGGUCACAUUCUGUAUGUCUCACAACAGCUUGGCUGAGUAGUAAACGAGUGUGAGUGCUAGACUGGCCUACCAGCAGUCUAGACCUGUGUCCCAUUGAAAAUGAAAACGUGUCAUUAUGAAGCAAAAAAUUUGACAACGGAGACCCCAGACUGUUGAGCAACUGAAGGCUUACAUCAAGCAAGAAUGGCAAAGAAUUGCACCUACAAAGCUUCUACAAUUUGUGUCCUCAAAUGGAUACUGAGUGUUGUUGAAAGGAAAGGUAAAGUAACACAGCGGUAAAAGUGCCUCUUUCCCAACUUUUUUGGAACGUGUUGCAGGCAUCAAAUUAAAAAUGAAUGUUUGCGAAAAAACAAAGUUUAUCAGUUUGAACAUUAAAUAUCUUAGUACAGUAUAUUCAAUUGAAUAUAAAGUAGGGUGAAAAGGAUUGGCAAAUCAUUGUAUUCUGUUUUUAUUUACAUUUACAUAAUGUCCCCAUUGCAUUGGAAUAGGGUUUUGUAUAUGGUUUUGGUCAUCGAGUGGACAAUGCACACUUUAGUCUUAACUUCUGCUAUUCCUCCACAUGGCGAAAUAAGUGCUAAUUGUAAACAUCUAGUAUUACGUCUCUGUUUUCGCCUUCUAUGAAAGAUGAAACAGUUGUCAAAUGAUCACAUUAAUAUCCUGAAUGGAUUACGACAAAUACUUUUAGAAAAAUAACUGUCAAUUCUCAUGAGAAUAGUUCUUGCCUGUGACUGAUAGAACACCAGGCCUGGGCUUGCGUGUUCACUUUAUUUGAGCAGUGGCUCCCAAAGUGACUACUGACUUGAGCUGUAACAAUAUUAUGGCAGUGAUUGAGAUGUUUUUGGUGUUCUGAAAAACAAGAAGAUGUAAAACAGCUCUUAUAACAGAAGGUAGCGUAUGCCAUCAAAUGGGUUUGGGCCUACCAUACCAAUCUGUCGGCAAGUACGUUGACUAAUUGUAACCUCAAUGAUUUGAGCAUGCUGUUUUUCGAGUAUUGGACAUUUCGUAACCCACAGUGUAAUAAUUAAAGACAUAAUAUCUAUCGAUGCCUUCAAGAGGCGUGACCACAACAGUACAUUUGUAAAUGUGGGCACGUUCAAAUUACACAAGCGCCAGGGAGGCAGACAGUCAUUUGACAGCUAUGGCAAAAAUGACAAAGAGCAUACUUGUUUACCUCUAAUAUUACAUGCUGGCGUGCUGUAUAUAAACGUGCCUGCAAAUGUUUACGGGCAAGCCCAACCAGGAACAAUAAAGAAGGCAUGCAGAAAGGGAAGAAUGUGAUUUUAAAACAAAGCAUUUAUAAAAUGCACUGUGAAUGUUGCAGAAAAUUCUGGAACAACUGUAUAUUUCAUGGUAUGUUACUCAUUAACUCAUUCACAGCUAGCCAGAGUUCCCCAUGUCACCAGCCAUUUUAGAGCAUUUUGACUGAUAUUUCAAGACCCACAGAAUAUUCUUGGCAUGGCAUGACAAUAUAAUCACAAAACCUACCAAAAGAAAGAGUACGCUUCCUUCUUCCAACAGAAAAAAAAACUUCUGUUUGUAGCUUUUUCUGUUCUUUCGUAGUCAGCAGUGGAACAUGUCUAUGUUUCACUUUAUAUAUACAUGGAUACUGUAUAUGGAUAUACAUGGAGCCUGUCAAAAGUUGUUCUUCGCAGCUCAUAAAGGAUAGAUGCCUGUCAGUAUUGUUAUAGUAUCUGUCUACAUGUGUUGAUCCACUGUCUGUGUUAAAAAUAUACGUUGCCUAAAUGUUAUAACACUGCAAUGCCAAUGCUAUACGUUAGCCUUUCUAUAAUGUUUUGAAUUGUUUGUUAGGGGUAAGCUAAGCAGACAUAAAGCUAUAUGGUUGUGUUAAAUAGACAAAUUGAGGUUCUCUUCACAACGAGAAGCCUCUUUUUUGAAGAAUUCACUAAUUCUAUCUGCCAAACUGCUGCUCGUUGUGAAGGGAGUUGAAUUAAGUUCACUGCCAGCAAACAGCGCCCACAUCUCGAAUUUUUGCUCGUAAAUCAAAGCAAAUAAAAAGAAU